GACGAACGCUGGCGGCGUGCUUAACACAUGCAAGUCGAACGGAAAGGCCCUGCUUUUGUGGGGUGCUCGAGUGGCGAACGGGUGAGUAACACGUGAGUAACCUGCCCUUGACUUUGGGAUAACUUCAGGAAACUGGGGCUAAUACCGGAUAGGAGCUCAUGCUGCAUGGUGGGGGUUGGAAAGUUUCGGCGGUUGGGGAUGGACUCGCGGCUUAUCAGCUUGUUGGUGGGGUAGUGGCUUACCAAGGCUUUGACGGGUAGCCGGCCUGAGAGGGUGACCGGCCACAUUGGGACUGAGAUACGGCCCAGACUCCUACGGGAGGCAGCAGUGGGGAAUAUUGCACAAUGGGCGGAAGCCUGAUGCAGCAACGCCGCGUGCGGGAUGACGGCCUUCGGGUUGUAAACCGCUUUCGCCUGUGACGAAGCGUGAGUGACGGCAAUGGGUAAAGAAGCACCGGCUAACUACGUG
rnacentral:rRNA from 1 species